UAAAUUAAUCAAUAUAUUUAUUUUUAGGUAAGAUAAACAUAAUAAUACAAUGUAUCGCUAGUCUGGAUGAUUUAGUUCUUUUCACCCUGUUGUCCUCCCGUCUCUUCCCCAAGGAUGGCUCCAUGAGCUGGGCAAACGCCUGGAGAUGCCCUACGUCAACAACACGGUCGGCGGCCCGUCGGUGCGCAGCUCGCACAUCGCCGCCCUCUACUUCACCCUCAGGAGCCUGACCAGCGUCGGCUUUGGCAACGUGUGCGCCAACACAGACGCCGAGAAGAUCUUCUCCAUCUGCACCAUGCUCAUCGGAGGUCCGCAUAGAGCUGGAGGGGGCGUGGCCUCCAGCUUCGGCUGAAAAUCGGGAGAUUUUCGGGAGAAUAUUUGUCCCGGGAGGUUUUCGGGAGAGGCGCUGAAUUUCGGGAGUCUCCCGGAAAAUUCGGGAGGGUUGGCAAGUAUGGUGAGCAGGACUGAGAUCGACAUUGAGUGAGCGAAGUUCUGUGCCUUGUUCAGACAGCGGCAGCACUUCCGUGUUAUUAGCGAUGUCAAUGAUUAUAAUAUUAUGUAUCCCCUACUAACGUUUUAUGUGAUUAACAACAUGAGUCCAAAUUCACAAGUUUUGUUGUUGAUGAUGCUAAGUAUCUACUAGGGCUGCAAAUCUUUGGGUGUCCCACGAUUCGAUUCAAUAUCGAUUCUUGGGGUCACGAUUCGAUUCAAAAUCGAUUUUUUUCGAUUCAACGCGAUUCUCGAUUCAAAAACGAUAUUUUCCCGAUUCAAAACGAUACUCUAUUCAUUCAAUACAUAGGAUUUCAGCAGGAUCUACCCGAGUCUGCUGACAUGCAAGCAGGGUAGUAGAUUUUUGUAAAAAGCUUUUAUAAUUGUAAAGGACAAUGUUUUAUCAACUGAUUGCAAUAAUGUAAAUUUGUUUUAACUAUUAAAUGAACCGAAUAUAUGACUUAUUUUAUCUUUGUGAAAAUAUUGGACACAGUGUGUUGUCAAGCUUAUGAGAUGCGAUGCAAGUGUAAGCCACUGUGACACUAUUGUUUUUUGUUUUUUUAUAUAAAUGUCUAAUGAUAAUGUCAAUGAGGGAUUUUUAAUCACUGCUAUGUUGAAAUUGUAACUAAUAUUGAUACUGUUGUUGAUAAUAUUCAUUUUUGUUUCACUACUUUUGGUUUGUUCUGUGUCGUGUUUGUGUCUCAUCUCAAUUGCUCUGUUUAUUGCAGUUCUGAGUGUUGCUGGGUCGGUUUUGAAAUUGGAUUGCAUUGUUAUGGUAUUGCUGUGUAUUGUUUUGUUGGAUUGAUUAAUGAAAAAAAAGAUAAA